AGCCACGGCACACCCUAGUGUGCGUCUCUAGAUUUGCAUU
rnacentral:tRNA from 1 species